CUUUGUAGGUUCAAUUUCUAACCAUUGCGUUUAGUAGGUUGUACAUGUUUCCUAUGUUAUCUUUCUACUUAUAUGUGUAAUUCCUGACUUUCUUUUGAUGAUGUUGGUGGCAAUCUGUCUCUCAUUAACUUUGCUUCAUAUUUUUCCUCUAUUAUUUUUUCAGUUCUUCUCAUUCCUUUUUAAUGUUUAGCCUUUUGGGGGCAGAUUUCAUCAUUUACUGUGAUUGGCUUCUCAUGGAUGCAGUCCUGUUACUUGGCAUGCUGAUGGAUCCCAGCACCUGCUACUGGAAUCCACACAACUAUGAGAAAGCUGACUCCAAAGUGAACAAAAGUAGUUUGUGUGGAAUUAUUUUUACUUAUGCUCCACUUUGAAUGCAAUGUGUGCCAAGAACAUCACCUUAUGAUGACAGCUUGUUGCAGCCAGGAGGUCUCUAAUUUAAAUAAAUUCUGGUUGUGUUAAUCACCAAAGAUACAAUUAUGUCAUCAUAUGCUGUGUGCUUUUUAAAUAAAUGAUUCUGAAACAGA